rnacentral:lncRNA from 1 species
AAACUAGUAAAGGCUAUGGUGCUCCCUUUACACCCAAGUAAAGGCAUGUGGUUUGGGGGACGGAAGGAGAUUAAGCCAAUGCGGAAUGCCCUACACACACUCUAGCACCACCACUUUGGGGACUUCGGUUCUCCCGCUGGCUCGGGCUUGGACCUCGGUCUGCAGGGAGAGGGUUGGAGGGACUGGGCGGCUGCGGCCCUUACCUUGCUGACCACGUUCUGGACGAGGCCGGCGCGGAUGCCGUAGUCCCAUGCGCGGCAGUCACAGUUGGAGGCGUUGUCCCCCUUGUCCGGAGGGGAUGGCAGGGGUGGUGUGUCGCCUCCGUCCGCGCCGCUGCUGUUGCUCCGGUUGCCCGCAGCCUCCCAGGGGGCAGUGGCGAAGGGGGUGGUGGGGAGGCUGGUCCAGUUGCCCAUGUCCCCGCCCCGGCCUGUGGUGGUGACCCCUGCCAGCUCGGUGCCUUUGCCGGCCCCGCGGCACCAGAAGUUGGGCUGGUCCAGGAGGAACGAGUCCGAGAACUGGCUGAAGCCGAUGAACAGCGCCGGGAUCCAGAGCUAAUACAUGCAAAGUUCUGACCUCCAUGCCUGGAACAGAUGGCUGAUUUUCCAGAAGAGGUCCACUUUGUGUCUGGCUCUGCCUCCCUUCCCCCACAGUCACAAGGACCCAUUUGUUUUCUUGUAACUGAUCACAAAAGGAGCAUUGCCAUUGACCUUAAUGGCCCUUCCAAUCAGAAUAACUAUCAUAGCCAGCGUUUCAGAGUUGGCUUUCAAAUUCACACUCUCACUCAGUCCUCACAUUCAGCGCCCCAAGAAGUGGGCUUUCAAAGAGAAACAGCAAGGAUCAGGUGACUGACUACCAGAUCAAAGAGUUGGUCCCCAGCUGAGCCAAAUAUCUGGUUUUGAACCCAGAUUUUCUGACUGGACAUUACCGGAUUUCUCCAUUUCAUCAUACAGGGGCAACUAUAGGGAAGAGUUUACAAAGAUGUUUGUUAAUGUGCAUUUUUACGUGGGAGAAGCCCUGGCCCUAGGAAAAGAGUUUCAUUGUGAAGAUGUUAUUAGUCUUUGUUCGCAAAAGGUGGUAAAAAUCCUCAAAUGGUACAUUCUUAGAAUUUAGGGACACACUGGAAAAUGGUAUCCUCUAAAACUGAAGCUAAAAGGAGGCAACAUAAAAUGUUUGAAAUUAACUAGCUGCAGCACUGACCCAGGCAUUGUAAUUAAGCUGUUGAUUAGAUUAGAGGUUUCCCUAAAUUCCUCCUGGAUUGAUAUUUCCACCAAAUCUAGUCAAGAAGAUUAAAGUGUAACUACUUUAAAAUAAAGUGGCCUUCAAUUUAUUAAAACAUACCACAAGUGAUCUCAUAACGUGAGCAAAAGGAGUAAAGAGGAAGAAUUUGACACUCUGACAGCCUCAGUGGGUGAGGUUUGAGAUCCAUGGACCAGGAUAGGAAAGCCAGACACCUGUUAAAAAAUUACUGUUUUUAAUUUUCUGAAUGAGCAUUAUCAUCAGCUGCUAUUUUUCUUGUUUGCUUAGUUAGAUUUACGUUCUGCCUCUAGAAUGUAAGCACCUUCGGGGAUAGGUGCCUUGUGCUCAGCUGUAUGCUUGGUGGUUAAAACAGUGCCUGGUACAUGCAAGGCACUCAAUACAUCUUUGUCAAAUAAAUGAGUGUAUCAAGUUAUUAAUCACUUGAUGAUACUGUCUAUUCAAAUCAUCAAACUGUUUACUUUGUUUCUUAAAUCAUCAAGCAACCUUUUUGUGUUUGUUCAUCUCUCAAAGAUGGUGCUCAGAUCAGCCAACAUGAGACUUGAAAUGAAUUUGACAAUUAUAUGUCUUGUUGUAAGGCAUUGUGGUUACUGGAUUAGCUCCCAAUAUUAUCUUCUCUUGGGCAGUAUUGGCUUGCAGAUGGUGGCUUAUAGGCCAAAUGCAGCUCACAGACCAUAGGCAAUGUUUUCAGGAAAAUAAUUGCUAACAUUUCAAAAUUGGGAGAUUGAAUACUUAGAAAAAAAUGUGUUUUGGGCUUCUCUGAACAUCAUAGCAGAAGCCAUUGUCCUUUUGAUGCCCCAUGUUUGCAGGACCGUGCUUUCUUGGACUGCAGUAAAUGAGCAGGCACUCUCCAGCUUGCCCUCAUCCCUGCCUGACACAUGCCCCUCAUGCAUGACAUUUGGCCCCCAAAAGUAGCUGUGUUUGUGACCCUAAAUUUAUGUGAGUAUCCUGAACCCAGUGAUCUUAAUAAAGAAGCUGAGUCAUUCCCUUUUCCUUUGAAAGUAUGUUAAAGAAUCUACCAGUUUAUAGUUUUCUAAAAAUUGAGAAAAUAAGGAAAGGAAAUGAAAGUCAUAACCUAAUCACCAAUACAUUUGAACAGUUUUAUUUCCUUGGAGAUAACAGGAGAAAAAAUGUUUUAGCUUACCUCUAAAAUUGAUGGAAACCUAAUUUUAAAUCCUCUAUAAUUCUGUAAAAGUUAAUUCUAAGGAAUUCAAGUCAGGGUUAAUUAACUUUAAAUGUACGCUGCAAGUCAUACCAAAUGUAUUUCACGUUGGUUUCUCUGAUUAUUCAUGGUCUUUAUACUUGAAUUAUAGAUAGAUAUAUCAC